rnacentral:lncRNA from 1 species
GGGGCUGGCGGCUGGGGCUUCUUCUGAAAUUAUACACCCAUACACACACACACGAUACAGUAGAGGUGAAAACACACAGGAGAAUACACAACACGUGCAUGGAAAUUGAGUAGUGCAGAUUCCUCUUAAAAUUAACGACGAAAUAAAUAAGCAAAUUACAGAAUCCUUUUGCAAACGAACAACAGAAGCUUUGGACGAAAAUUAGUUCAUUUUUCUUUCUCUGAGUUCUGUUCUGAUAUGAAUCAUGGAGACGGUUUGAGUUUUGAAAUCAAGUCGAAGUGCCGAUCUAAGUCCUGUCCGCAUCAAUUUUCUAAUUUCCACACAAAUGGAUUUCGUGUCGAUUCUUUCUGAAGUCGUAGCGAUGUUCGGCUGUAAUUGUUGAUUCAUUUCAAGUUCGUAUAAAUUUCAGGUUCAUUUCUUCUCCAUAUUUUCGUUACACGUGAUUUUGUGUCUCGUGUUCAUAUUUUGUCAUGAUUUUGUUUAAUACUAUCUGAAAAGCAGCAGUCGUUGUUGGUUUAAAUGCCGAGUUCUUUUGGCCUUUAUUCAAGUCUAUUUGUGUUCUCGUUUAUUUUAUCUUGGAUGGGUGAUCGUACGCACUUAUGUAAUGGUUGUGGUUGUAUAAACUCAUCCAGUUUGUUUGUUAAAUUUAAGCGCUAAAACAGAUUCGUGGAGUCAUAAAUGUUGAAGCCCGCUUGUUUGAUCCUUUUGUUGGUUUGCUGGAGUUUGAACACUAAGAAACUUGUGUGCAUUGUUCAUUCGUAAAUUAGUGAGUUCAAAUUUAUCUUCUUAUUGAUUCAUGACUAGAUUUGAUUCUAAGGUAGUCUGUUUAAGCUAUGUCAAUUUCUCUGGUGCAUUGUGGCUGAAAUCUGAGUUCGAACAUAGACUGCUUGUUGAGAAUAUGACUUUGCUUUAGACCAAAUGUUUUGGGGACUGUAUUGAAUGCAUUUUAGUCGAGGGAAGCCAUUAGCGACUCAAAUUCAGGUGGUUGUUCUAAAAAUUGUUGAAUUAAGUUAGCUUCGUGAGUCGAGAAUUCUUAUCAUUAAUCCCUUAGCUUCCAUUUGCUUAGAAUUCCUUGCGCAUGUUUAAGUUCAUUGUCCCGUUCUAAGAGGAAAGUUCAGCAUGUUCAAAGUCCCUUCUCUUUGCCUUUUUAGUUUCUCUUUGUUUUUUAGAAAACCUUAAUCUGUCCUUUUCCUUGA